rnacentral:rRNA from 1 species
CGGCGAGUGAAGCGGCAACAGCUCAAAUUUGAAAUCUGGCGUCUUUGGCGUCCGAGUUGUAAUUUGCAGAGGGCGCUUUGGCAUUGGCAGCGGUCCAAGUUCCUUGGAACAGGACGUCACAGAGGGUGAGAAUCCCGUACGUGGUCGCUAGCCUUUACCGUGUAAAGCCCCUUCGACGAGUCGAGUUGUUUGGGAAUGCAGCUCUAAAUGGGAGGUAAAUUUCUUCUAAAGCUAAAUACUGGCCAGAGACCGAUAGCGCACAAGUAGAGUGAUCGAAAGAUGAAAAGCACUUUGGAAAGAGAGUUAAAAAGCACGUGAAAUUGUUGAAAGGGAAGCGCUUGCAGCCAGACUUGCCUGUAGUUGCUCAUCCGGGUUUUUACCCGGUGCACUCUUCUACGGGCAGGCCAGCAUCAGUUUGGGCGGUUGGAUAAAGGUCUCUGUCAUGUACCUCCUCUCGGGGAGAACUUAUAGGGGAGACGACAUGCAACCAGCCCGGACUGAGGUCCGCGCAUCUGCUAGGAUGCUGGCGUAAUGGCUGUAAGCGGCCCGUCUUGAAACACGGACCAAGGAGUCUAACAUCUAUGCGAGUGUUUGGGUGUCAAGCCCGAGCGCGUAAUGAAAGUGAACGGAGGUGGGAACCUUUCGGGGUGCACCAUCGACCGAUCCUGAUGUCUUCGGAUGGAUUUGAGUAAGAGCAUAGCUGUUGGGACCCGAAAGAUGGUGAACUAUGCUUGAAUAGGGUGAAGCCAGAGGAAACUCUGGUGGAGGCUCGCAGCGGUUCUGACGUGCAAAUCGAUCGUCAAAUUUGGGCAUAGGGGCGAAAGACUAAUCGAACUAUCUAGUAGCUGGUUCCUGCCGAAGUUUCCCUCAGGAUAGCAGUAACGUUUUCAGUUUUAUGAGGUAAAGCGAAUGAUUAGAGGACUGGGGGAUGAAACAUCCUU